GAUGAACGCUGGCGGCGUGCCUAAUACAUGCAAGUCGAGCGAACAGGCGAGGAGCUUGCUCCUCUGACGUUAGCGGCGGACGGGUGAGUAACACGUGGAUAACCUACCUAUAAGACUGGGAUAACUUCGGGAAACCGGAGCUAAUACCGGAUAAUAUAUUGAACCGCAUGGUUCAAUAGUGAAAGACGGUUUUGCUGUCACUUAUAGAUGGAUCCGCGCCGCAUUAGCUAGUUGGUAAGGUAACGGCUUACCAAGGCGACGAUGCGUAGCCGACCUGAGAGGGGGAUCGGCCACACUGGAACUGAGACACGGUCCAGACUCCUACGGGAGGCAGCAGUAGGGAAUCUUCCGCAAUGGGCGAAAGCCUGACGGAGCAACGCCGCGUGAGUGAUGAAGGUCUUCGGAUCGUAAAACUCUGUUAUUAGGGAAGAACAAAUGUGUAAGUAACUAUGCACGUCUUGACGGUACCUAAUCAGAAAGCCACGGCUAACUACGU
rnacentral:rRNA from 1 species